rnacentral:rRNA from 1 species
UACGUAGGGACCAAGCGUUGUUCGGAUUUAUUGGGCGUAAAGAGCUCGUAGGCGGCUCGGUAAGUCGGGUGUGAAAACUCGGGGCUCAACCCCGAGACGCCACUCGAUACUGCCAUGGCUAGAGUCCGGUAGGGGAGCGUGGAAUUCCUGGUGUAGCGGUGAAAUGCGCAGAUAUCAGGAGGAACACCGGUGGCGAAGGCGGCGCUCUGGGCCGGAACUGACGCUGAGGAGCGAAAGCGUGGGGAGCAAACAGG